GACAAAGGUAAGGUAGGAUGUGAGUACAUUGGAGGUAAACCUAGGCAUUGAGUAAUGAUGAGAGAGAUAUAGUCUCUAGAGACGUUUAAACCAGGUGAUGUCAUCGCAUAUGUAGGAGGUGGAACAACAUGGUUGGUUAAGGCAUAUUGAGCAGGGCUAGAGGCUCUACAGUGAAAUAAGACAGUAAUCACUAACCAGGACAGUAAUGGACGGGGCAUAUUGAUAUUAGAGAGAUGCAUGCUUAGCAAAGUGAACAUAUGGGUCCAGUGAGUGCUUGGGCUGACUGGGGACAUGGCGAUUCAGACAGUUAGCAGGCCGAUGCUAACAGUUAGUAGGCCGGGGCUAAACAAGCUAGCAGUGAGCAGACCGGGGCUGGCAAGCUAGCAGUUAGCAGACCGGGUUAGCAAGCAAGCAGUUGGCAGACCGGGGCUAGCAGUUAGCAGACCGGGGCAGGCAAGCUAGCAGAUAUAUUGUGUCCUCUUGCGCUUUAUUUCUUUACUAGUUACAAAAUGUUUGAUCUACAACUACAUAUAAUGCAAUGUGAUAGUGGGUUCGAUUCCUGGGACCACCUCUGCGAAAAAUGUAUGCACGCAUGACUUUUUUAAAACUUAUUUUGUACAUAAUGUUGCCGCUACCAUCUCUUAUGACUGAGAAGAACUUGUGGACAUCAGGACUGUGAUUACUCACCACGGACUGGCAGAAUCCUUUUUUCCCUUUAAUGAGUCUGACGAGCCCGACGUGAAUGAUAUACUGCUCUUCCGGGAACAGGCCCAGAUCCUCGUGAUUUGCGUGAAGAGAAGGCAGAGAAAAAGGGUCCAAAGGGCGGGCUGCCUUCUGAGAAUUCGUAGGCGAUAGAAUAAACCCCCACUUCCUUCCAUUCUGCUAGCAAACGUGCAAUCUUUGAAAAAUAAAAUAGAUGAUCUACGCGGAAGAUUAAACUACCACCGGGACAUUCAAAACUGUAAAAUAUUAUGCUUUACUGAGUCGUGGCUGAAUGACGACACAAUCAACAUACUGGCUGGUUAUACGCUGUACUGGCAGGAUAGAACAGCGGUGUCUGGUAAGACAAGGGUCGGCGGACAAUGUAUUUUUGUAAAUAACAGCUGGUGCAUGAUAUCUAAGGAAGUCUCGAGCUAUUGCUCGCCUGAGGUAGAGUAUCUCAAGAUAAGUUGUAGACCACACUAUCCACCAAGAGAGUUUUCAUCUGUAUUUUUCAUAGCUGUUUACAUACCACCACAGACAGAGGCUGGCACUAAGACCACAUUGAAUGAGCUGUAUUCCGCCAUAAGCAAACAAGAAAACGCUCACCCAGAGGCGGCGCUCCUAGUAGCCUGGGACUUUAAUGCAGGGAAACUUAUCAGCAUGUUAAAUGUGCAACCAGAGGGAAAAAAACUCUUGACCACCUUUACUCCACACACAGAGACGCAUACAAAGCUCUCCCUCACCCUCCAUUUGGCAAAUCUGUCCAUAAUUCUAGCCUCCUGAUUCCUGCUUCAAGGCAAAAAUUAAAGCAGGAAGCACCAGUGCCUCGAUCAAUAAAAAAGUGGUCAGAUGAAGCAGAUGCUAAGCUACAGGACUGUUUUGCUAGUACAGACUGGAAUAUGUUCCGGGAUUCUUCCGAUGGCAUUGAGGAGUACACCACCCCAGUUAUUGGCUUCAUCAAAAAGUGCAUCGACGUCGUCGUCCCCACAGUGACUGUACACACAUACCCCAACCAGAAGCCAUGGAUUACAGGCAACAUCCGCACUGAGCUAAAGGCUAGAGCUGCCGCUUUCAAGGAGCGGGACUCUAACCUGGCAGCUUAUAAGAAAUUCAGCUAUGCCCUCUGAUGAACCAUCAAACAGGCAAAGCAUCAAUACAGGACUAAGAUCGAAUUGUACUACACUGGCUCUGACGCUAGUUGGAUGUGGCAGGGCUUGCAAACCACUACAGACUACAAAGGGAAGCACAGCCGAGAGCUGCCCAGUGACACAAGCCUACCAGACGAACUAAACUACUUCUAUGCUCGCUUCGAGGCAAAUAACUCUGAAAAAUGCAUGAGAGCACCAGCUGUUCCGGAAGACUGUGUAUUCACGCUCUCCGCAGCCGAUGUAAGACCUUUAAACAGGUCAACAUUCACAAAGCUGCAGGGCCAGACAGAUUACCAACUGACAAGUGUCUUCACAAUAUUUUCAACCUCUCCCUGUCUGAGUCUGUAAUACCAACAUGUUUUAAGCAGACCACCAUAGUCCCUGUGCCCUAGAACACUAAGGUAACCUGCCUAAAUGACUACUGACCCAUAGCACUCACGUGCAUAGCCAUGAAGUGCUUUGAAAGGCUUGUCAUGGCUCACAUCAACACCAUUAUCCCAGAAACUCUAGACCCACUCCAAUUUGCAUACCGCCCCAACAGAUCCACAGAUGGUGCAAUCUCUAUUGCACUCCACAUUGCCCUUUCACACCUGGACAAAAGAAAGGAACACCUAUGUGAGAAUGCUAUUCAUUGACUACAGCUCAGCGUUCAACACCAUAGUGCCCUCAAAGCUCAUUACUAAGCUAAGGACCCUGGGACUAAACACCUCCCUCUGCAACUGGAUCCUGGACUUCCUGACAGGCCGCCCCCAGGUGGUAAGGAUAGGUAACAACACAUCUGCCACGCUGAUCCUCAACACAGGGCCCCCUCAGGGGUGAGUGCUCAGGCCCCUCCUGUACUCCCUGUUCACCCAUGACUGCACGGCCAGGCACGACUCCAACACCAACAUUAAGUUUGCCGAUGACACAAAAGUGGUAGGUCUGAUCACUGACAACGACGAGACAGCCUAUAGGGAGGAGGUCAGAGACCUGGCCGUGUGGUGCCAGGACUACAACUUCUCCCUCCACAUGAUCAAGACAAAUGAGAUGAUUGUAGACUACAGGAAAAAGAGGACCGAGCACGCCCCCAUUCUCAUCAACGGGGCUGCAGUGGAGCAGGUUGAGAGCUUCAAGUUCCUUGGUGUCCACAUCACCAACAAACUAACGUGGUCCAAGCACACCAAGACAGUCGUGAAGAGGGCACGACAAAACCUAUUCCCCCUCAGGAGACUGAAAAGAUUUGGCAUGGGUCCUCAGAUCCUCAAAAGGUUCUACAGCUGCACCAUCGAGAACAUCCUGACUGGUUGCAUCACUGCCUGGUAUGGCAACUGCUCGGCCUCCGACCGCAAGGCACUACAGAUGGUUGUGCGAAUGGCCCAGUACAUCACUAGGGCCAAGCUUCCUGCCAUCCAGGACUUCUAUACCAGGCGGUGUUAGAGGAAGGCCCUAAAAAUUAUCAAAGACUCCAGCCACCCUGUCAUAGACUGUUUUCUCUGCUACCGCACGGCAAGCGGUACCAGAGCCCAAGUAUAGGUCAAAGAGGCUUCUAAACAGCUUCUACCACCAAGCCAUAAGACUCAUGAACAUCUAAUCAAAUGGCUACCCAGACUAUUUGCAUUGCCCCCCUCCCCCUCUUUUACACCGCUGCUACUCUAUGUUGUUAUCAUCUAUGCAUAGCCACUUUAAUAACUCUAGUUCCAUGUACAUAUCAGCUCAACUAACCAGGGCCCCUGCACAUUGAGUCUGUACCGGUACCCCCCUGUAUAUAUUCUCGCUAUUGUUAUUUUACUGCUGCUCUUUAAUUACUUGUUACUUUUAUUUCUUAUUCUUAUCCAUAUUUUUUAAAACUGCACUGUUGGUUAGGGGUUCGUAAGUAAGCAUUUCACUGUAAGUUCUACACCUGUUGUAUUCGGCGCAUGUGACCAAUAAAGUUUGACUUGAUUUGAAAAUGUCUGCAGCAUUGAAAGUCCCCAAGAACACAGUGGCCUCAUCAUUCUUAAAUGGAAGAAGUUUGGAACCACCAAGUAUCUUCCUAUAGCUGGCCGCCCGGCCAAACUGAUCAAUCAGUGAUGAAGGGCCUUGGUUAGGGAAGUGACCAAGAACCCGAUGGUCACUCUGAAAGAGCUCAAGAGUUCCUCUGUGGAGAUGGGAGAACCUUCUAGAAGGACAACCAACUCUGCAGCACUCCACCAAUCAGACAUUUAUGGUUGAGUGGCCAGACGGAAGCCACUCCUCAGUAAAAUACACAUGACAGCCCGCUUGGAGUUUGCCAAAAGGCACAAAAAAACUCAAGAUUCUCUGGUCUGAUGAAACCAAAAUUGAACUCUUUGGCCUGAAUGCCAAGUGUCGCAUCUGGAGGGAGCCUGGCACCAUCCCUACGUUGAAGCAUGGUGGUGGCAGCAUCAUGCUGUGGGGAUGUUUUUCAGCGGCAGGGGCUGGUAGACUAGUCUAGAUUGAGGCAAAGAUGAACGGACCAAAGUACAGAGAGAUCCUUAAUGAAAACCUGCUCAAGACCAUAGACUGGGGCGAAGGUUCACCUUCCAACAGGACAACGACCCUAAGCACACAGCCAAGACAACGCAGGAGUGGCUUCGGGACAAGUCUCUGAAUGUCCUUCAGUGACCCGGACUUGAACCCGAUCGAACAUCUCUGUAGAGACCUGAAAAUAGCUGUGCAGCGACGCUCCCCAUCCAACCUGACAGAGCUUGAGAGGAUCUGCGGAGAGGAAUGGGAGAAACUCACCAAAUACAGCUGUGCCAAACUUGUAGCGUCAUACUCAAGAAGAGUCGAGACUGUAAUCGCUGCCAAAGGUGCUUCAACAAAGUACUAAGUAAAGGGACAAUGACCCAACAUAUCUCUAGGCUGUGUAAGGGCUAUUUAACCAAGAAGUCGAGUGAUGGAGUGCUGUAUCAGAUGACCUGGCCUCCACAAUCACCCGACAUCAACCCAAUUGAGAUAGUUUGGGAUGAGUUGGACCGCAGAGUGAAGUAAAAACAGCUAAAAAGUGCUCAGCAUAUGUGGGAACUCGCUCAAGACUGUUUGAAAAGCGUUCCAGGUGAAGCUGGUUGAGAGAAUGCCAAGAGUGUGUAAAGGCAAAGGGUGGCUACUUUGAAGA
rnacentral:lncRNA from 1 species